rnacentral:rRNA from 1 species
AUGCUAAGCUCACUUGAUUUACCCAUUAGGGUAAACAAAAACUGGGUCCAGAACUACUGCAUGCGUAAUGCAACACUUCUUUUAUGUACUACCUCAAUGCGGGAGUGUGAAUUGUUGAUCCCACUAAGUCUGCAUUUGUUAAAACAUGGUGUUUUGGUAGGAGAUGACUGUCAACUCAUGCAACGGUUAGAGCAAAGUAAGGUAUGCAAAGAAGUUGGAUUUGCGACAAGUUUAUUUGGGAGUUUGGUUAUGCUCCAAUUUAAUAUACAUUUGCUGAACAUACAGUAUCACAUGAAUCCUUCUUCAGGUUAUUUCCAAAUGUCCAGUUUUAUGAGAGGAAGAUUAGGAUGGCGGCCAAGUUGA